UCCUACGGGAGGCAGCAGUGGGGGAUAUUGCACAAUUGGGUAAACCCUGAUGCAGCGACGCCGCGUGGGCGAAGAAGUAUUUCGGUAUGUAAAGCCCUAUCAGCAGGGAAGAAGAAAUGACGGUACCUGAAAAAGAAGCCCCGGCUAACUACGUGCCAGCAGCCGCGGUAAUACGUAGGGGGCAAGCGUUAUCCGGAUUUACUGGGUGUAAAGGGAGCGUAGACGGAAAGGCAAGUCAGAAGUGAAAACCCAAGGCUCAACCAUGGGACUGCUUUUGAAACUGUCAAACUAGAGUACGGGAGAGG
rnacentral:rRNA from 1 species